UACGAAGGGAGCUAGCGUUGUUCGGAAUUACUGGGCGUAAAGGGCGCGUAGGCGGUCUAAUAAGUCAGGUGUGAAAGCCCUGGGCUCAACCCGGGAACUGCGCUUGAUACUAUUAGUCUUGAAUUCGGGAGAGGUUGGUAGAAUUGCCAGUGUAGAGGUGAAAUUCGUAGAUAUUGGCAAGAAUACCCGUGGCGAAGGCGGCCAACUGGACCGACAUUGACGCUGAGGCGCGAAAGCGUGGGGAGCAAACAGG
rnacentral:rRNA from 1 species